rnacentral:rRNA from 1 species
GAUGAACGCUAGCGACAGGCUUAACACAUGCAAGUCGAGGGGCAGCGGGGAGGUAGCAAUACUUCCGCCGGCGACCGGCGCACGGGUGAGUAACACGUAUGGAACCUGCCCGUAGCAGGGGGAUAAGCGGAAGAAAUUCCGUCUAAUACCGCGUAACAACGUUGGGAGGCAUCUCCCGAUGUUUAAAGAUUUAUCGGCUGCGGAUGGCCAUGCGGCGCAUUAGCUAGUCGGCGGGGUAACGGCCCACCGAGGCGACGAUGCGUAGGGGUUCUGAGAGGAAGGUCCCCCACACUGGUACUGAGACACGGACCAG